CCUACGGGCGGCAGCAGUGAGGAAUAUUGGUCAAUGGACGAGAGUCUGAACCAGUCAAGUAGCGUGAAGGAUGACUGCCCUAUGGGUUGUAAACUUCUUUUAUAUGGGAAUAAAAUGUUCCACGUGUGGGAUUUUGUAUGUACCAUAUGAAUAAGGAUCGGCUAACUCCGUGCCAGCAGCCGCGGUAAUACGGAGGAUCCGAGCGUUAUCCGGAUUUAUUGGGUUUAAAGGGAGCGUAGGUGGAUUGUUAAGUCAGUUGUGAAAGUUUGCGGCUCAACCGUAAAAUUGCAGUUGAAACUGGCAGUCUUGAGUAGAGUAGAGGUGGGCGGAAUGCGUGGUGUAGCGGUGAAAUGCUUAGAUAUCACGAAGAACUCCGAUUGCGAAGGCAGCUCGCUGGACUGCAACUGACACUGAGGCUCGAAAGUGUGGGUAUCAAACAGGAUUAGAUACCCUUGUAGUC
rnacentral:rRNA from 1 species